GACGAACGCUGGCGGCGUGCUUAACACAUGCAAGUCGAGCGGAAAGGCCCUUCGGGGUACUCGAGCGGCGAACGGGUGAGUAACACGUGAGUAACCUGCCCUAGGCUUUGGGAUAACCCCGGGAAACCUGGGCUAAUACCGGAUAUGACCUGGUGCCGCAUGGUGUUGGGUGGAAAGUUUUUUCGGCCUGGGAUGGGCUCGCGGCCUAUCAGCUUGUUGGUGGGGUGAUGGCCUACCAAGGCGAUGACGGGUAGCCGGCCUGAGAGGGCGACCGGCCACACUGGGACUGAGACACGGCCCAGACUCCUACGGGAGGCAGCAGUGGGGAAUAUUGCACAAUGGGCGGAAGCCUGAUGCAGCGACGCCGUGUGAGGGAUGAAGGCCUUCGGGUUGUAAACCUCUUUCAGCAGGGACGAAGCGUGAGUGACGGUACCUGCAGAAGAAGCGCCGGCCAACUACGUG
rnacentral:rRNA from 1 species